UGGGGAAUAUUGGACAAUGGGCGAAAGCCUGAUCCAGCCAUGCCGCGUGUGUGAAGAAGGUCUUCGGAUUGUAAAGCACUUUAAGGUGGGAGGAAGGGCAUUAACCUAAUACGUUAGUGUUUUGACGUUACCGACAGAAUAAGCACCGGCUAACUCUGUGCCAGCAGCCGCGGUAAUACAGAGGGUGCAAGCGUUAAUCGGAAUUACUGGGCGUAAAGCGCGCGUAGGUGGUUUGUUAAGUUGGAUGUGAAAUCCCCGGGCUCAACCUGGGAACUGCAUUCAAAACUGACUGACUAGAGUAUGGUAGAGGGUGGUGGAAUUUCCUGUGUAGCGGUGAAAUGCGUAGAUAUAGGAAGGAACACCAGUGGCGAAGGCGACCACCUGGACUAAUACUGACACUGAGGUGCGAAAGCGUGGGGAGCAAACA
rnacentral:rRNA from 1 species